UCCAUGACCAAUUUUUCAUACACAAACGCUAAUUUCAAAUCUUAAAUCUAAAUUUUUAGAUCUAAAUUCUUUACAUAAAAAAUAUGUUUGGAUCUCAAAAUAAUUUCAGAUCAUACAUAUAAACAUAUAUCAUAUACAUGAAUAAGUUCAGAUCAUAGAAAUAAAUUUUAGUCCUUAAUAUGCUUUUAUAUAUCAUAUA
rnacentral:lncRNA from 1 species